GACGAACGCUGGCGGCGUGCUUAACACAUGCAAGUCGAACGGAAAGGCCCUGCUUUUGUGGGGUGCUCGAGUGGCGAACGGGUGAGUAACACGUGAGUAACCUGCCCUUGACUUUGGGAUAACUUCAGGAAACUGGGGCUAAUACCGGAUAGGAGCUCCUGCUGCAUGGUGGGGGUUGGAAAGUUUCGGCGGUUGGGGAUGGACUCGCGGCUUAUCAGCUUGUUGGUGGGGUAGUGGCUUACCAAGGCUUUGACGGGUAGCCGGCCUGAGAGGGUGACCGGCCACAUUGGGACUGAGAUACGGCCCAGACUCCUACGGGAGGCAGCGGUGGGGAAUAUUGCACAAUGGGCGGAAGCCUGAUGCGGCAACGCCGCGUGCGGGAUGACGGCCUUCGGGUUGUAAACCGCUUUCGCCUGUGACGAAGCGUGAGUGACGGUAAUGGGUAAAGAAGCACCGGCUAACUACGUG
rnacentral:rRNA from 1 species